UACGUAGGGUGCAAGCGUUAAUCGGAAUUACUGGGCGUAAAGCGUGCGCAGGCGGUUUUGUAAGUCAGAUGUGAAAUCCCCGGGCUUAACCUGGGAACUGCGUUUGAAACUACAAGGCUAGAGUGUGGCAGAGGGGGGUGGAAUUCCACGUGUAGCAGUGAAAUGCGUAGAGAUGUGGAGGAACACCGAUGGCGAAGGCAGCCCCCUGGGUUAACACUGACGCUCAGGCACGAAAGCUCGGGGAGCGAACGGG
rnacentral:rRNA from 1 species